GACGAACGCUGGCGGCGUGCUUAACACGUGCAAGUCGAACGGAAAGGCCCUGCUUGCAGGGUACUCGAGUGGCGAACGGGUGAGUAACACGUGGGUGAUCUGCCCUGCACUUCGGGAUAAGCCUGGGAAACUGGGUCUAAUACCGGAUAGGAGCCAUUUUUAGUGUGAUGGUUGGAAAGUUUUUUCGGUGUAGGAUGAGCUCGCGGCCUAUCAGCUUGUUGGUGGGGUAAUGGCCUACCAAGGCGGCGACGGGUAGCCGGCCUGAGAGGGUGGACGGCCACAUUGGGACUGAGAUACGGCCCAGACUCCUACGGGAGGCAGCAGUGGGGAAUAUUGCACAAUGGGCGCAAGCCUGAUGCAGCGACGCCGCGGGGGGGAUGACGGCCUUCGGGUUGGAAACUCCUUUCGCUAGGGACGAAGCUUUUUGCGACGGUACCUAGAUAAGAAGCACCGGCUAACUACGUG
rnacentral:rRNA from 1 species